rnacentral:tRNA from 1 species
GCGAACGUGGUGGAACUGGUAGACACGCUAUCUUGAGGGGGUAGUGCCUAAUCGGUGUGCGGGUUCAAAUCCCGCCGUUCGCACCA